CAGCGCUGGACGUCCAGCCUCUGGUUACGGCGCUAGUUACCCACCAUGUAUGCAUGGUGCCCGAGGCCGCGGGGUCAGGGGCCGCUUGCCCGGGGGGAGCCACUUUCAGGGG
rnacentral:rRNA from 1 species